rnacentral:rRNA from 1 species
AUUGAACGCUGGCGGCAUGCUUUACACAUGCAAGUCGAACGGCAACGAGGAGAAGCUUGCUUCUCUGUCGGCGAGUGGCGAACGGGUGAGUAUAGCAUCGGAACGUGCCAAGUAGUGGGGGAUAACCAAACGAAAGUUUGGCUAAUACCGCGUAAGCUCCAAGGAGGAAAGUAGGGGACCUAAAUAAGGCCUUACGCUAUUUGAUCGGCCGAUGUCGGAUUAGCUAGUUGGUGGGGUAAUGGCUCACCAAGGCAAUGAUCCGUAGCGGGUCUGAGAGGACGAUCCGCCACACUGGGACUGAGACACGGCCCAGACUCCUACGGGAGGCAGCAGUGGGGAAUUUUGGACAAUGGGGGAAACCCUGAUCCAGCCAUGCCGCGUGUAUGAAGAAGGCCUUAGGGUUGUAAAGUACUUUUGUUAGGGAAGAAAAGCUAGUUUUUAAUAAAAAUUAGUGAUGACGGUACCUAAAGAAUAAGCACCGGCUAACUACGU